UACGUAGGUGGCAAGCGUUGUCCGGAAUUAUUGGGCGUAAAGCGCGCGCAGGCGGUCCUUUAAGUCUGAUGUGAAAGCCCACGGCUCAACCGUGGAGGGUCAUUGGAAACUGGGGGACUUGAGUGCAGGAGAGAAACGCGGAAUUCCAGGUGUAGCGGUGAAAUGCGUAGAUAUCUGGAGGAACACCGGUGGCGAAGGCGGCGUUCUGGACUGCAACUGACACUGAAAAACGAAAGCCAGGGGAGCAAACGGG
rnacentral:rRNA from 1 species